GAGGGUGUAGCUCAGUGCUAGAGGGCACGCUUAGCACGCACGAGGUCCUGGGUUCAAUCCCCAGCACCUCCA
rnacentral:tRNA from 1 species